rnacentral:rRNA from 1 species
UACGUAGGGUGCGAGCGUUAAUCGGAAUUACUGGGCGUAAAGCGUGCGCAGGCGGUUUUGUAAGUCUGACGUGAAAUCCCCGGGCUCAACCUGGGAAUUGCGUUGGAGACUGCAAGGCUGGAGUCUGGCAGAGGGGGGUAGAAUUCCACGUGUAGCAGUGAAAUGCGUAGAGAUGUGGAGGAACACCGAUGGCGAAGGCGGCUUCCUGGACCAAUACUGACGAUCAGGUGCGAAAGCGUGGGGAGCAAACAGG